ACGGGUUAUGAGUGCUAACAAACGGGAUAAGUUCUGUAUUACUCUCUUUGCGUGCUGUGGACCUGAGUUCCGUCAUUGGUAUAGCUUUUGCCUUUUCUAUUCCCUUUUCUAUUAGUGGGUUUGGAUAGUUUUGUUCUUUCAAAAACACCUUCAGUUCAUUCAAACGUAAUUCCUUCGUGAAAUCAUCACUCACAAUUGUACAUACACGUCGUGCUAGACAAAACGGGAUGUUUCUUUUCGUAUGUGAAGGAUGGCAUGAAUGAAAAUUCAGGUAUUGGUGGGUGUCCGUCUUCUUAUAAUAUAUAUCUGUGGUUAAGGUUGUUCCAUUCUUUAAUAUUAAAAUAUCUAGAAAUGGCAGUCUUUGUUCGCUAGAUUCGAUGGUAAAUUUAAUCGAAGGAUGUAAUGUGUUUAUCAGACUAUGAAACUUCUCUAAAUUGUGACUUUUGUUUAAAAUGAUAAAACAGUCGUCUAAGAAUCGCUUCCAUUCCGAUUUUACGUACACUUUAAAAGCUGUAUCAAAUUCACUUUCAACUUGUUGAUACAUUUUAUCCUCCAGAAAUCCCAUCACGAGAGUUGCGUAUGUGGGAGCAACUUUUGUUCCCAUAGCUGUACCAGAGAUCUGUAGAUAAUAUUUUCCAUCAAAGAAAAAGGUGUUAUUAUCUAGUAUGAUUUUCAAUCCCUCCAACAAAAAAUUAUUCGAAAAUCUUUGGUCGAUAAUGUGCCUAUAUGACUCUAGCCAA
rnacentral:lncRNA from 1 species